GAUGAACGCUGGCGGCGUGCCUAAUACAUGCAAGUCGAGCGAACGGACGAGAAGCUUGCUUCUCUGAUGUUAGCGGCGGACGGGUGAGUAACACGUGGAUAACCUACCUAUAAGACUGGGAUAACUUCGGGAAACCGGAGCUAAUACCGGAUAAUAUUUUGAACCGCAUGGUUCAAAAGUGAAAGACGGUCUUGCUGUCACUUAUAGAUGGAUCCGCGCUGCAUUAGCUAGUUGGUAAGGUAACGGCUUACCAAGGCAACGAUGCAUAGCCGACCUGAGAGGGGGAUAGGCCACACUGGAACUGAGACAAGGUCCAGACUCCUACGGGAGGCAGCAGUAGGGAAUCUUCCGCAAUGGGCGAAAGCCUGACGGAGCAACGCCGCGUGAGUGAUGAAGGUCUUCGGAUCGUAAAACUCUGUUAUUAGGGAAGAACAUAUGUGUAAGUAACUGUGCACAUCUUGACGGUACCUAAUCAGAAAGCCACGGCUAACUACGUG
rnacentral:rRNA from 1 species